rnacentral:rRNA from 1 species
GAUGAACGCUAGCUACAGGCUUAACACAUGCAAGUCGAGGGGCAGCAUGGUCUUAGCUUGCUAAGGCCGAUGGCGACCGGCGCACGGGUGAGUAACGCGCAUCCAACCUGCCCUACACUCUUGGACAGCCUUCUGAAAGGGAGAUUAAUACAAGAUGUUAUCAUGAGUAAGCAUUUUCGCAUGAUUAAAGGUUUACCGGUGUAAGAUGGGGAUGCGUUCCAUUAGAUAGUAGGCGGGGUAACGGCCCACCUAGUCCUCGAUGGAUAGGGGUUCUGAGAGGAAGGUCCCCCACAUUGGAACUGAGACACGGUCCAAACUCCUACGGGAGGCAGCAGUGAGGAAUAUUGGUCAAUGGACGAGAGUCUGAACCAGCCAAGUAGCGUGAAGGAUGAAGGUUCUAUGGAUUGUAAACUUCUUUUAUACGGGAAUAAACGAAUCCACGUGUGGAUUUUUGCAUGUACCGUAUGAAUAAGGAUCGGCUAACUCCGUGCCAGCAGCCGCGGUAAUACGGAGGAUCCGAGCGUUAUCCGGAUUUAUUGGGUUUAAAGGGAGCGUAGAUGGGUUGUUAAGUCAGUUGUAAAAGUUUGCGGCCCAACCGUAAAAUUGCAAUUGAUACUGGCAGUCUUGAGUACAGUUGAGGUAGGCGGAAUUCGUGGUGUAGCGGUGAAAUGCUUAGAUAUCACGAAGAACUCCGAUUGCGAAGGCAGCUUACUAACCUGUAACUGACAUUGAUGCUCGAAAGUGUGGGUAUCAAACAGGAUUAGAUACCCUGGUAGUCCACACGGUAAACGAUGAAUACUCGCUGUAGGCGAUAUACAGUCUGCGGCCGAGCGAAAGCAUUAAGUAUUCCACCUGGGGAGUACGCCGGCAACGGUGAAACUCAAAGGAAUUGACGGGGGCCCGCACAAGCGGAGGAACAUGUGGUUUAAUUCGAUGAUACGCGAGGAACCUUACCCGGGCUUAAAUUGCAACCGAAUAUGGCGGAAACGCUAUAGCUAGCAAUAGCGGUUGUGAAGGUGCUGCAUGGUUGUCGUCAGCUCGUGCCGUGAGGUGUCGGCUUAAGUGCCAUAACGAGCGCAACCCUUGCCGAUAGUUACUAACAGGUUAUGCUGAGGACUCUGUUGGGACUGCCAUCGUAAGAUGUGAGGAAGGUGGGGAUGACGUCAAAUCAGCACGGCCCUUACGUCCGGGGCUACACACGUGUUACAAUGGGGGGGUACAGAGGGCUGCUACCACGCAAGUGGAUGCCGAUCCCAAAAACCUCUCUCAGUUCGGAUUGAAGUCUGCAACCCGACUUCAUGAAAGCUGGAUUCGCUAGUAAUCGCGCGUCAGCCACGGCGCGGUAAUGACGUUCCCCGGGCC